GUAACGGGGAAUUAGGGUUCGAUUCCGGAGAGGGAGCCUGAGAAACGGCUACCACAUCCAAGGAAGGCAGCAGGCGCGCAAAUUACCCAAUCCCAACACGGGGAGGUAGUGACAAUAAAUAACAAUACGGGGUUCUUUAGGAUCUCGUAAUUGGAAUGAGUACAAUUUAAAUCUCUUAACGAGCAACAAUUGGAGGGCAAGUCUGGUGCCAGCAGCCGCGGUAAUUCCAGCUCCAAUAGCGUAUAUUAAAGUUGUUGCAGUUAAAAAGCUCGUAGUUGAAUUUCGGGGUCAGUAGGUCGGUCGUGCCACUGGUAUGAACUGGUUUUACUGAUUCCUCCCUCUUGAAGAACUGUAAUGCCAUUAAUUUGGUGUUGCAGGGAAUCAGGACUGUUACUUUGAAAAAAUUAGAGUGUUUAAAGCAGGCUUUAGCUUGAAUACAUUAGCAUGGAAUAAUGAAAUAGGACGUUUGAUCCUAUUUUGUUGGUUUCUAGGAUUGACGUAAUGAUUAAUAGGGAUAGUUGGGGGCAUUAGUAUUCAAUUGUCAGAGGUGAAAUUCUUGGAUUUAUUGAAGACUAACUACUGCGAAAGCAUUUGCCAAGGAUGUUUUCAUUAAUCAAGAACGAAAGUUAGGGGAUCGAAGACGAUCAGAUACC
rnacentral:rRNA from 1 species